ACGUACGCUGGCGGCACGCCUAACACAUGCAAGUCGAACGAAGUAGCAAUACUUAGUGGCAGACGGGUGAGUAACAUGUAGGUAUCUGCCCUUUGGCCUGGAAUAACACGAGGAAACUUGUGCUAAUACCGGAUAAGUCUUUACGGAGAAAGCUUUAUGCACCAUUGGAUGAGCCUGCACUUGAUUAGUUUGUUGGUGGGGUAAUGGCCUACCAAGACUGUGAUCAAUAGCUGAUUUGAGAGGAUGAUCAGCCACAUUGGGACUGAGACACGGCCCAAACUCCUACGGGAGGCAGCAGUGGGGAAUCUUGCACAAUGGAGGAAACCCUGAUGCAGCGAUGCCGCGUGAGUGAAGAAGGCCCUUGGGUUGUAAAGCUCUUUCGUCGGGGAAGAAAAUGACUGUACCCGAAUAAGAAGGUCCGGCUAACUUCGUGCCAGCAGCCGCGGUAAUACGAAGGGACCUAGCGUAGUUCGGAAUUACUGGGCUUAAAGAGUUCGUAGGUGGUUGAAAAAGUUAGUGGUGAAAUCCCAGAGCUUAACUCUGGAACUGCCAUUAAAACUUUUCAGCUAGAGUAUGAUAGAGGAAAGCAGAAUUUCUAGUGUAGAGGUGAAAUUCGUAGAUAUUAGAAAGAAUACCAAUUGCGAAGGCAGCUUUCUGGAUCAUUACUGACACUGAGGAACGAAAGCAUGGGUAGCGAAGAGGAUUAGAUACCCUCGUAGUCCAUGCCGUAAACGAUGUGUGUUAGACGUUGGAAAUUUAUUUUCAGUGUCGCAGGGAAACCGAUAAACACACCGCCUGGGGAGUACGACCGCAAGGUUAAAACUCAAAUGAAUUGACGGGGACCCGCACAAGUAGUGGAGCAUGUGGUUUAAUUCGAAGAUACGCGCAGAACCUUACCAACACUUGACAUGUUCGUCGCGACUCUAAGAGAUUAGAGUUUUCGGUUCGGCCGGACGAAACACAGGUGCUGCAUGGCUGUCGUCAGCUCGUGUCGUGAGAUGUUGGGUUAAGUCCCGCAACGAGCGCAACCCUCACUUUUAGUUGCCAUCAUUAAGUUGGGCACUCUGAAAGAACUGCCAGUGAUAAGCUGGAGGAAGGUGGGGAUGACGUCAAGUCCUCAUGGCCCUUACGUGUUGGGCUACACACGUGCUACAAUGGUAUCUACAACAGGAAGCAAGACUGCGAAGUUAAGCAAAUCCCUAAAAGAUACCUCAGUUCGGAUUGCACUCUGCAACUCGAGUGCAUGAAGCUGGAAUUACUAGUAAUCGUGGAUCAGCGUGCCACGGUGAAUGCGUUCCCGGGUCUUGCACUCACCGCCCGUCAA
rnacentral:rRNA from 1 species